GUGGUUCACUGGUAGAAUUCCUGCCUUCCAUGCAGGAGACCUGAGUUCGAUUCCCAAC
rnacentral:tRNA from 1 species